AACGAACGCUGGCGGCAGGCCUAAAACAUGCAAGUCGAACGCCCCGCAAGGGGAGUGGCGCACGGGUGAGUAACGCGUGGGAACGUGCCCUUCAGUACGGGACAACGUCGGGAAACUGACGCUAAUACCGUAUAAUAUCUCCGGAUCAAAGAUUUAUCGCUGAGGGAGCGGCCCGCGUCUGAUUAGCUAGUUGGCGAGGUAAUGGCUCACCAAGGCUACGAUCAGUAGCAGGUCUGAGAGGAUGAUCUGCCACACUGGGACUGAGACACGGCCCAGACUACUACGGGAGGCAGCAGUUAGGAAUAUUGGACAAUGGGGGAAACCCUGAUCCAGCCAUGCCGCGUGUGUGAUGAAGGCCCUAGGGUUGUAAAGCACUUUCGUUGGGGAUGAUAAUGACCGUACCCAAAGAAGAAGCCACGGCUAAAUUCGUGCCAGCCGCCGCAGUAA
rnacentral:rRNA from 1 species